rnacentral:antisense_RNA from 1 species
CGUGACGGCAGCUGUACGCGGGAGGCCGCAAGGCCUGCCGGGGUUCUCCGAUGACCUGGUUUUCCACCCCGUGUACAGCCGCCACCCUU